rnacentral:rRNA from 1 species
AGCAGCCGCGGUAAUUCCAGCUCCAAUAGCGUAUAUUAAAGUUGUUGCAGUUAAAAAGCUCGUAGUUGAAUUUCGGGAUCAUCAGGUUGGUCGUGCCACUGGUAUGCACUGGCCUUGGUGAUUCCUCCUUCUUGAGGAGCCGUGAUGCCAUUCAGUUGGUGUUGCGGGGAAUCAGGACUGUUACUUUGAAAAAAUUAGAGUGUUUAAAGCAGGCUC